GUGCUCGCUUCCGCAUCACAUAUACUAAAAUUGGAACGAUACAGAGAAGAUUGGCAUGGCCC
rnacentral:snRNA from 1 species